UAAAGAGCCCUCGACACAAACAUGUACACACAAACUCUACUGAUGCUCUGGACUGUAGUCAGACAGACACACAGCAUUAUGGGUGUUCAGGUGAGAUCAUGACAGUUGUAUAUUAUUUCUGUGGUGAGUCGGUUCCAUAUAGGACGUGUGUUGAGGGCAACACUUUGACCCUCGGUCAGUUUAAAUCCCUGGUGACCCGCAGGGGUUGGUACAGGUUCUUCUUCAAAAGAGCCAGCAGUGAGUUUGAAUCCGGUGUGGUUUAUGAGGAGAUACGAGAAGAUGAGAGCGUCUUACCAAUCUAUGAUCAUAAAAUCAUCGCAAAAGUUGAGAGAAUGAAUAAAUGA